GGAUUCAAACGAGAAGAUGGAACGAAAACCAUUAGUGCGUGUAGUAUUCGAACACCACUCAAUGGCCUUUCACCUUAUCAAGCAUUUUACAUGUUUUCUAAUGGCCCUUUUUCGUAUAGAUUCAACUGUAACAAAGGAUGCAAUGUAAGUAAAUGAUACACAUAUAGAAAUACAACGUUAAUCAUAUACUAUUUUUGAUUCAUUUGAUUGUUCUAUGAAAUGUAAUAUUUUAUGACUGAUUAUAAGAAAACACAUUUAACACUCAACUGUCAGCAAUUAAAAAAAAUUGUUUGGCGCAUCAUACAUGUACCAAAUUCUUAAAGUGUACCAAGUAAUGUUUAGUACUUUAUUUGAUUCCGAUUUGCCCGCCUGUCUGCAGUUAUCAAUGAGACACACAAUAAUAUAUCCACAGUUUCUGACCUUCUUGUUUUUACUCCUAACUUUGCUUAAAAUAUUGAUAAACAAUGAGCUUUUCCCGUUUUUAUUUCUAUAAAAAAGAGAACAAAGAAGAAAUUCCGACUGACCACUUUUCAAAAAGAAUCAUAUAUAGAUAUAAAAAGAUGUAUUAUGAUGGUCAAUGAGACAACGCUCUGUCCAAAUCACAAAUUCUAAAAAUGAAUCAUUGUAGGUCAAAGUAAGGUAUUCAAAACCCAUAUCGACCAUCAAGCUAUGAAGGACCUGAUAUAUGACUAGUGUUAAACCAAUAAUCGGGAAAACCAGCAAUGUAAUUUAUAUAAAAUAAAACGAGAAACACUUAUGAACCAAAUCAACAAAGGCUUACCACUGAACAUCAGCUCCUGAAUUAGGACAGGUGCAAACAAAUGCAUCGGGUUUUCACGUUUUGAUAUGUACCAACCUUCACCCUGAUCUGAAACAAUAGUGUAACAUUAAAACAUAUAAAGACACACUAUGCAUUAUCAAUUGAAUUGCUUAACUCAAUCAAAAUACAUAUUAACACAAAGAAAUGAAUAUCGCUGAACGAAUGAAUUUGAUCUAUGACAAAACAGGGCAAAAGAUAAAUAUAUAUUUGAUCAAUGACACAACUUAUAUAUUCAUAUGUUUGAUUCCACCUAAAAAAUUGUUGUCGAAAAUCAUACUUUGUCACGAAAAAAGGUUCAUGGUACACCGAUGUUAAGUAUAUAACCAUAACGUCCAAAACUCUAAGUUUUUACUGUAUUGUGUAUUGUAAUUUUCAAACAAAAUCAGUAAACUUUCAUGAAUUUGCACUACUAGCCAUUUGUACUACAGUUUUGUAUAAUCCAACGAUUAUGUUAAUGGAACAAGCAGAUACUAAAAAAGAAAACUAUCCCGAAGGUAUACAACUUGUAUAAAGAAAGAUAUCAUUUAUGUAGACAAUAAGUAGUUUUGGUGUAAUAAAAUGUUUAAUUUUUAUUACCAAUCAAGUGAUCAUGAAUUACGGUAAAUAAGUUAGGCGUACAAAUCAUGAUUUUACCAAAAUCAUUUGCAUUCCAUAUCAAUUUAAAUCUUUUUUAAAUUUCCUAAAUAUCUCUUUUUUUUAAUCAGUAUUACAAAAAGGUCGAAAUAAUAUGUUUUUGUUCUGAAAAAUAGAGAAAAAUCGAAAAUUUUCAAAAUUGACCGCAUGGUACAUGUAUAACUGACCUAAAAAGAAACGAAAUGCUAUAAAACUUUCUUAUAAUAACACACACUUUUAGUUUUUAAAUUUGAUGCAACGCCAUAUGAAAUUUUCUUCACCAUUUUUUUACAGUCAUAUUAACCCAAAUAUUAAGAAAGAACAAACAGUUUAAUUGUUGAAAUAUUGGGCUCCUCGGAGGUGUACAUUCUUAAGCACAAUCUAUUCUAAUGUUAAGGAUAACUAUAGGGGAAAAUUUUAAAGAACUUAAAAGAAAUUAUUAUGAAAAUACGGUUAUUUUCACCUCAUGAUAUUAGUAAAGUGACACAUGUGACAAUGACUUGAAUUUCUUAUAUUUUGGUAUUGUUAUUGUCAUCUAGGGAACUUUAUAAUAAUGAUAGAUCCUGAUAUUCUCGGCUAGUUAAGUAUUCUAAAAUAAAUGUUUUUUAUGUUAAGAAAGCAAGUUAAAAAGUACAACCCAUUAAAGUUAUGUAAAAAUAAGUUGAUAAAUAUAUUCUUGAAUUAUUGAAUAUGUUGUUGUCAAAAUAUAUAUAUAUAUCUGAAUUUGUUUUUCAUCAGUUAAACUAAAUUGAAUAGUAUUCAGAUCGAAAACAUUAAUUUUUAUUUUAUAACAUUAGGGAUCGAUUAUAGCAUAUAUGACGACAUAUAUAAAACUGUAUACAAUUUAACUAGUGUAGUUAGUAUUUCUGUAUGUAACGUUCAACAUGUACAGUUAUGUGCUAUUCGCUCAAAUGCAACAUAUAAGUCUUAUACCGGUUUAUAAUAUUCGGUUGGAGUCUAUUUGGUCGAGCUGAUUUUUACGAUUCAUGUCAAAUGUUUAAAGAAUAUAUAGUAUUUGUUAACAUGGAGUUUCCAAACAAGAGGAGACUUUCACUUGAAAAAUUUAAAAGAAGAUGACUAAGCCCUGUUUUCGUAUUUGUAAUUGGAACCCAAAAACUGCAUUUAUCAUGUAGAUGUGACAUAUUGCACUUCUAUAAAUGUUUUCAUAUGCUAUGAUUAGCUGCACAAACACUUGUCAUACACAUUUACUACAAAUGGAAUAUUGUUUAAUAUUAAUAUAAUAUAUAUAUAUAAAUAUAUAUAUUAUAAUAAUAUAUACACUUUAUUUUUAUCUUCAGAAAAUUGACAAAGAGUCACCAGGAUGUAAAUAUGAGUCCGAUAGGAGUGACCUUUCAAAAUGCCUUUCUAAGAAUGGAUUAUGCAAGAAACAAGGAAAGAAAUGUGUUUGGUUUGAUAAUGAUAAAUGUUAGCUAAGCGAUCUAGUUCAUAAUCUAAGCCCUAAACUUGUAUAAUAAAAGAUGGAACUUUUAAGUGCUUUUAAUUACAUAUUUGUCCAUGGUUAAUAUGUGAGACGUAUUACAAAUCAGAAUAUGUCUUACGUCUGCUACCUACUUAUAGACUUUCCGUCUAUUAAAAUGUUUAUAAUUUUUGUUCGAUCUGUG
rnacentral:lncRNA from 1 species